rnacentral:rRNA from 1 species
GGACCCGCACAAGCGGUGGAGCAUGUGGUUUAAUUCGAUGCAACGCGAAAAAACCUUACCUACUCUUGACAUACUUGGAAGCUCUUGUAAUGAGAGUGUGCCUUUUGGAACCAAGAUACAGGUGCUGCAUGGCUGUCGUCAGCUCGUGUCGUGAGAUGUUCCGUUAAGUCGGAUAACGAGCGCAACCCUUACCCUUAUUUGCCAGCGAUUCGGUCGGGAACUAUAAGGGGACUGCCGGUGAUAAACCGGAGGAAGGUGAGGACGACGUCAAGUCAUCAUGGCCCUUACGAGUAGGGCUACACACGUACUACAAUGCUACGGACAAAGAGCAGCUAACUCGCGAGAGU